AGAUUGAACGCUGGCGGCAUGCCUUACACAUGCAAGUCGAACGGCAGCACGGGGGCAACCCUGGUGGCGAGUGGCGAACGGGUGAGUAACAUAUCGGAACGUGCCCUGGAGUGGGGGAUAACUAGUCGAAAGAUUAGCUAAUACCGCAUACGAUCUACGGAUGAAAGUGGGGGAUCGCAAGACCUCAUGCUCGUGGAGCGGCCGAUAUCUGAUUAGCGUAGUUGGGUGGGUAAAGGCCUAACCGAAGGCAUCGAUCAGUAGCUGGUCUGAGAGGACGACCAGCCACACUGGGACUGGAGACGACCGGCCCAGACUCCGUAGGAGGCAGCAGGUGGGAACUUUGGACAAGUGGCG
rnacentral:rRNA from 1 species